rnacentral:rRNA from 1 species
UACGUAGGGGGGCUAGCGUUGUCCGGAAUCAUUGGGCGUAAAAGCGCGUGUAGGCGGCCCGGUAAGUCCGCUGUGAAAGUCGAGGGCUCAACCCUCGAAUGCCGGUGGAUACUGUCGGGCUAGAGUGCGGAAGAGGCGAGUGGAAUUCCUGGUGUAGCGGUGAAAUGCGCAGAUAUCAGGAGGAACACCAAUGGCGAAGGCAGCUCGCUGGGGACGUGACUGACGCUGAGACGCGAAAAGCGUGGGGGAGCAAACAGG